rnacentral:tRNA from 1 species
UCCCCGGUAGCUCAGUUGGUAGAGCAAGCGGCUGUUAACCGCUUUGUCGUUGGUUCGAGUCCGACCCGGGGAGCCA